rnacentral:rRNA from 1 species
GUCCAGACUCCUACGGGAGGCAGCAGUGGGGGAUAUUGCACAAUGGGGGAAACCCUGAUGCAGCGACGCCGCGUGAGUGAAGAAGUAUUUCGGUAUGUAAAGCUCUAUCAGCAGGGAAGAAAAUGACGGUACCUGACUAAGAAGCCCCGGCUAACUACGUGCCAGCAGCCGCGGUAAUACGUAGGGGGCAAGCGUUAUCCGGAUUUACUGGGUGUAAAGGGAGCGUAGACGGCAAUGCAAGCCAGAUGUGAAAGCCCGGGGCUCAACCCCGGGACUGCAUUUGGAACUGUGUAGCUGGAGUGUCGGAGAGGCAGGCGGAAUUCCUAGUGUAGCGGUGAAAUGCGUAGAUAUUAGGAGGAACACCAGUGGCGAAGGCGGCCUGCUGGACGAUGACUGACGUUGAGGCUCGAAAGAGUGGGGAGCAAACAGGAUUAGAUACCCCUGUAAGA